rnacentral:rRNA from 1 species
AAGCGCUUGCAACCAGACUUGCGCGCUGUUGAUCAUCCGAGCUUCUGCCCGGUGCACUCAGCAGCGUUCAGGCCAGCAUCGGUUUUGGGGACCGGUCAAAGGCCCCGGGAAUGUAUCGUCUCCUUCGGGGGACGACUUAUAGCCCGGGGUGUCAUGCGGCCUUCCGGGACUGAGGAACGCGCUUCGGCGAGGAUGAUGGCGUAAUGGUUGUCAGCGA